UACGUAGGUGGCGAGCGUUGUCCGGAUUUACUGGGCGUAAAGAGCGCGCAGGCGGUCGUUCAAGUCGCGUGUGAAAGCCCCCGGCUCAACUGGGGAGGGUCACGCGAUACUGAUCGACUCGAAGGCAGGAGAGGGUAGUGGAAUUCCCGGUGUAGUGGUGAAAUGCGUAGAUAUCGGGAGGAACACCAGUGGCGAAGGCGACUACCUGGCCUGUUCUUGACGCUGAGGCGCGAAAGCGUGGGGAGCAAACAGG
rnacentral:rRNA from 1 species